rnacentral:rRNA from 1 species
AACAGGACGUCACAGAGGGUGAGAAUCCCGUACGUGGUCGCUAGCUAUUGCCGUGUAAAGCCCCUUCGACGAGUCGAGUUGUUUGGGAAUGCAGCUCUAAAUGGGAGGUAAAUUUCUUCUAAAGCUAAAUAUUGGCCAGAGACCGAUAGCGCACAAGUAGAGUGAUCGAAAGAUGAAAAGCACUUUGGAAAGAGAGUCAAACAGCACGUGAAAUUGUUGAAAGGGAAGCGCUUGCAGCCAGACUUGCUUGCAGUUGCUCAUCCGGGCUUUUGCCCGGUGCACUCUUCUGCAGGCAGGCCANCAUAAAGUUUGGGCGGCGGNNUAAAGGUCUCUNGUCACGUUCCUUCCUUCGNUUUGGCCAUAUNGGGGGAGANGUCCNUACCANCCAGCCUGGACUGGNGGUCUCGC